rnacentral:rRNA from 1 species
UGGGGAAUAUUGGACAAUGGGCGAAAGCCUGAUCCAGCCAUGCCGCGUGUGUGAUGAAGGCCUUCGGGUUGUAAAGCACUGUCGGGGGGGAAGAAGAUCUGACGGUACCCCCCAAGAAAGCACCGGCUAACUCCGUGCCAGCAGCCGCGGUAAUACGGAGGGUGCAAGCGUUGCUCGGAAUUACUGGGCGUAAAGCGUACGCAGGCGGCGCAUCAAGUCGGAUGUGAAAGCCCUGGGCUCAACCCAGGAACUGCAUUCGAAACUGGUGCACUUGAGUCCGAGAGAGGGUGGUGGAAUUCCUGGUGUAGAGGUGAAAUUCGUUGAGAUCAGGAGGAACAUCAGCGGCGAAGGCGGCCACCUGGCUCGGUACUGACGCUCAUGUACGAAAGCGUGGGUAGCAAACAGG